GUGCUUGCUUCGGCAGCACAUAUACUAAAAUUGGAACAAUACAGAGAAGAUUAGAAUGGGCCCCUAAAAUAAAAGAUAACAGCAACAACAAGGACCCACACAAAGGCUGG